rnacentral:rRNA from 1 species
UACGUAGGGUGCAAGCGUUAUCCGGAAUUAUUGGGCGUAAAGAGCUCGUAGGCGGUUUGUCGCGUCUGCUGUGAAAACUGGAGGCUCAACCUCCAGCCUGCAGUGGGUACGGGCAGACUAGAGUGCGGUAGGGGAGAUUGGAAUUCCUGGUGUAGCGGUGGAAUGCGCAGAUAUCAGGAGGAACACCGAUGGCGAAGGCAGAUCUCUGGGCCGUAACUGACGCUGAGACGCGAAAGCGUGGGGAGCGAACAGG